GAUGAAGAACGUAGCGAAAUGCGAUACUUGGUGUGAAUUGCAGAAUCCCGUGAACCAUCGAGUCUUUGAACGCAAGUUGCGCCCGAAGCCAUUAGGCCGAGGGCACGCCUGCCUGGGCGUCACACGUCGUUGCCCCCCCAUCUACUCCUUCGGGAUUGCGGGGGCGGAUGAUGGCCUCCCGUGCGCCUCGUCGCGCGGUUGGCAUAAAUGCCAAGUCCUCGGCGACGCACGCCACGACAAUCGGUGGUUGCGAAACCUCGGUUGCCCGUCGUGUGCGGUCGUCGCGCAUCGAGGGCUCGAAAAAAUUGCCGGGCUCCGGCUCGGCUUUCAACGCGACCCCAGGUCAGGCGGGGUUACCCGCUGAAUUUAAGCAUAUAAUAAGCGGAGGA
rnacentral:misc_RNA from 1 species